AUGUCAUUUAGUUGCGUAGUUCAAGACAACCUUUGUGAUCUGACCUGCAACCUUCACACCCUGAGUGCGUCAAUGUCCUCAUGUUUUCAAUUUGUAAAUGAGGAUGUAUUUCCAAGUAACUGCUGUGAAUUCCUCUUUUGUGUGUGUGUGUGUGUGUGUGUGUGUGUGUGUGCGUGUGUGCGUGUGUGCGUGUGUGUGUGCGCGUGCAAUCUAUGUGUGUCUUUAAGUAUACUCUGUGGAAUCUUCACCAAAGAUGAUGAUGUCCAUGUGUGUUUGUGCCCUUGCAAAUAUUUUUCUCUCACUUUUUUUUUUGUUUUUAUCAAACCUUUACUGUUUGUUUUUGUAUACCCACUGAACAAUGUUCGUCUGAUUUGUACUACAAGUGUGUAUUCCAUUCAGUAUGGGGGAAAUUGGAUUGUCAGGCUUCUUUAGUGCAUCUGUAGCUGUCGGUGGCCACGUGUAUAUUGUGACCUGCAAUCAUUAUCGCUGCAGUAUAGUAGUUCUGUGUAUAUAAGGAACAACGAAAAUAAUUUCUGUUCCCUGUACAAUCAGUUCAUCCCAUCCUAAAAACUGUUUGAACUCUUUCCCUGUUGCUGGGAUUGUGAAGAUGUUAAUGUUUCUAAAGUAAGUAUUAGUGGUUCUCUGUGACUCACUGGGCACCAUAAAGCAUGGCACUAACACUGCCGGGGUUAACAGGCUUCAUCCCCAUUGUAGCCACCAAUGUUUAUUAAAAAAAAUGCACUGUAAGGUGCCUCAGCUAAAAGUGGCAUCCACCAGCUGGCACGUGUGAUGUCAUAUAUGUACCCUUUUUUUUUGUUUUGUUUUGUUUUUUUAUUCUAUUUGGUUGUUUUAUGAGUCCGUAUUAGAAAAGCAGGAAAAGGGGGUUCCAGCGUUGACUUGAAGGUACAAACCUUGAAAUUUGGUUAGAAAAAAUAAUCACAGAACACCCUCCCCCCCCCCCCCCAGACCCAGACCCAGACCCAGACCCAGACCCAGACCCAGACCAAAGUCACAAGCAAUACUCCUGAUGUCUCCGUUAAUGUCACCCUAUCACAAACAGGAGUCUGAAUGAAGUUUCCCUCCCCCCACUGUCCUGUUCACUCUUUACCAAGCUGUCUGAAGGUUUUUUGUAUACCCCCCCUCCUGCCCUCCCUGAAGAGACUGCCUGCUUCUAGAGUUUUGUUUAUCUUUUGUCUGCACUAAAGAUGUCAACUAAUGAUGUCAUGAUAUAAAACCAUCCCCGUUUAUGGAUUGGAUGGCAACUAUCACAGCAAGAACUGAACUGCUUCUGCUUAACCCUUUGUGAAUCCUCGAUGAUGGUCAGUGCCCCCCUCCCUGCCCGUGCAGCUGCGUCUGUAGUGGGUUGUUUUUUUUCUUUCUAUUUUUUAUGGGGGGCGGGGGGGUGACUCCAGAGUGGACAUUUCAGAGCCACCGCUCCCCGUUUUCCCUCUCUCCAGUUGUCCAAUGUGUGAAAAACCUCCACCAACAGAACCCACAACCUUGCAUGUACUACCAACACUGAAGCUGCACCUAGCAUGAUGACAAACUUUUAAAGGACUCGAGUAGAAAAAAAAAACAGCUAAAGAUAGAUUAUAAAAUGAACUAAAAAGAAUAAAAGAGUUCUUAGUUUACUUUUGCACAUGGUUGGCAUUCUUUCUUGUUCUGAGUGUCUGUCUCUGUGUGUCUGUGAAACAACCUUACCGGGAGAAAUAACAAUUUGCACACUGAAUGGUUCAUUUGAGUCGCUUUAAAUCAAACUGCUGGAUGUUAGUUGUUGGAGAAUGGUGGAAUUAAUUGCAUCAUCAUCUGAUCAUGCUUUCAGGCUGCGUUACCAUGAGAGAUUUUAUAUUAAGAUAAAUCAUUUAUGAGAAUCAUCACACAGAAUAAAUGCAUUUAGAAAGCUUUGCUGAAUUAACCGUUUUGUGAUUACAGCGAGGACAGUGAAAAAAAUACAAAGGCAACAAUGGAAAC
rnacentral:lncRNA from 15 species